UACGGAGGUGGCGAGCGUUAUUCGGAAUUAUUGGGCGUAAAGGGCGCGUAGGCGGCUGUACAAGUCAAAGGUGAAAUUCCUCGGCUCAACUGAGGAACUGCCUUUGAAACUGUACGGCUUGAGGCCGGGAGGGGGUAGCGGAAUUCCCAGUGUAGCGGUGAAAUGCGUAGAUACUGGGAGGAACACCAGUGGCGAAGGCGGCUACCUGGACCGGUUCUGACGCUGAGGCGCGAAAGCGUGGGUAGCAAACAGG
rnacentral:rRNA from 1 species